rnacentral:tRNA from 1 species
GGUUCUAUAGUUCAGUUGGUUAGAACGAGAGACUGUUAAUCUCUAUGUCACCUGUUCGAGUCAGGUUAGGACCU